rnacentral:ncRNA from 2 species
UGUAACGGGCGGGGGGGCUGGAAAGGCCGGCUGAGAUUUAGACCCUAUGAGGUCUAGGACCCUUAUAACCUGAUCUGGAUAAUGCCAGCGUAGGUAAGCAGUUUUACUCUUUU